GUCAAAGUGAAACUAAACACAGCACAUUGUUCAUUUUAAAUUCUACAUUAAGUCUGCAGAUACAAAAUGAGUUUCAACAUUUGUAUUAAAGAUGAGAAAGGACAGCCAAGAACAGUAAGUGUGGAUUCAGAGGAGGAACUGAAGAACAUGACUGUUGAAGAGCUCAAAAGAAGAGCAUUUCCUGAAGACCGAUGGAUCGCGUGGAGGUUUAUCUUCAAGGGCAGACAACUGAAGGAAGGUCGUACACUUGGCUCUUAUGGCGUACUAAACGAAUCUACUAUUCAUGCAGUUCAACGUCUACGUGGUGGAGCUCCACCUGAAGAUGAAGAUGUAGAAAGCUCCAAGAGUGCAUAUAGGGAAGUAUUAGCUUCAACGCAGCACACUGAGCCAGAACCCAAUACAUCAUGUUUGAUUUUGUAGUUCAGUGCAUCCUCAUAUAAAUCCAACACAUUGUACAAAUAUGAAAAAUAUAAACAGUCACAAUGAACUGCUCAGCUGUACCUGUAAACACCACGUGUAGCUAAAGACUCAGCAGUUGAC
rnacentral:lncRNA from 1 species